UCUGCAACAAGUUCAACAUUGCGAUUGAAGCAGAUUAGGUAACGUGAAUAAAGGUUCUAGUUACAGGUAUUUAGCUGUGUUGGUC